UACGUAGGUGGCGAGCGUUUGUCCGGAUUUAUUGGGUUUAAAGGGCUCGUAGGCGGUUUGUCGCGUCGGGAGUGAAAUCCACUGGCUUAACUGGUGGCUUGCUUUCGAUACGGGCAGACUGGAGGUAUGCAGGGGAGACUGGAAUUCCUGGUGUAGCGGUGAAAUGCGCAGAUAUCAGGAGGAACACCGGUGGCGAAGGCGGGUCUCUGGGCCGUAACUGACGCUGAUGCACGAAAGUGUGGGGAUCAAAGCAGG
rnacentral:rRNA from 1 species